GAUGAACGCUGGCGGCGUGCCUAAUACAUGCAAGUCGAGCGAACAGACGAGGAGCUUGCUCCUCUGACGUUAGCGGCGGACGGGUGAGUAACACGUGGAUAACCUACCUAUAAGACUGGGAUAACUUCGGGAAACCGGAGCUAAUACCGGAUAAUAUAUUGAACCGCAUGGUUCAAUAGUGAAAGACGGUUUUGCUGUCACUUAUAGAUGGAUCCGCGCCGCAUUAGCUAGUUGGUAAGGUAACGGCUUACCAAGGCAACGAUGCGUAGCCGACCUGAGAGGGUGAUCGGCCACACUGGAACUGAGACACGGUCCAGACUCCUACGGGAGGCAGCAGUAGGGAAUCUUCCGCAAUGGGCGAAAGCCUGACGGAGCAACGCCGCGUGAGUGAUGAAGCUCUUCGGAUCGUAAAACUCUGUUAUUAGGGAAGAACAAAUGUGUAUGUAACUAUGCACGUCUUGACGGUACCUAAUCAGAAAGCCACGGCUAACUACGUG
rnacentral:rRNA from 1 species